UUAAGUUAUUAAGGGCGCACGGUGGAUGCCUUGGCACUAGAAGCCGAUGAAGGACGUUACUAACGACGAUAUGCUUUGGGGAGCUGUAAGUAAGCUUUGAUCCAGAGAUUUCCGAAUGGGGAAACCCAGCAUGAGUUAUGUCAUGUUAUCGAUAUGUGAAUACAUAGCAUAUCAGAAGGCACACCCGGAGAACUGAAACAUCUUAGUACCCGGAGGAAGAGAAAGAAAAUUCGAUUCCCUUAGUAGCGGCGAGCGAAACGGGAAGAGCCCAAACCAACAAGCUUGCUUGUUGGGGUUGUAGGACACUCUGUACGGAGUUACAAAGGACGACAUUAGACGAAUCAUCUGGAAAGAUGAAUCAAAGAAGGUAAUAAUCCUGUAGUCGAAAAUGUUGUCUCUCUUGAGUGGAUCCUGAGUACGACGGAGCACGUGAAAUUCCGUCGGAAUCUGGGAGGACCAUCUCCUAAGGCUAAAUACUCUCUAGUGACCGAUAGUGAACCAGUACCGUGAGGGAAAGGUGAAAAGCACCCCGGAAGGGGAGUGAAAUAGAACCUGAAACCGUGUGCUUACAAGUAGUCAGAGCCCGUUAAUGGGUGAUGGCGUGCCUUUUGUAGAAUGAACCGGCGAGUUACGAUUUGAUGCAAGGUUAAGCAGUAAAUGUGGAGCCGUAGCGAAAGCGAGUCUGAAUAGGGCGUUUAGUAUUUGGUCGUAGACCCGAAACCAGGUGAUCUACCCUUGGUCAGGUUGAAGUUCAGGUAACACUGAAUGGAGGACCGAACCGACUUACGUUGAAAAGUGAGCGGAUGAACUGAGGGUAGCGGAGAAAUUCCAAUCGAACCUGGAGAUAGCUGGUUCUCUCCGAAAUAGCUUUAGGGCUAGCCUCAAGUGAUGAUUAUUGGAGGUAGAGCACUGUUUGGACGAGGGGCCCCUCUCGGGUUACCGAAUUCAGACAAACUCCGAAUGCCAAUUAAUUUAACUUGGGAGUCAGAACAUGGGUGAUAAGGUCCGUGUUCGAAAGGGAAACAGCCCAGACCACCAGCUAAGGUCCCAAAAUAUAUGUUAAGUGGAAAAGGAUGUGGCGUUGCCCAGACAACUAGGAUGUUGGCUUAGAAGCAGCCAUCAUUUAAAGAGUGCGUAAUAGCUCACUAGUCGAGUGACACUGCGCCGAAAAUGUACCGGGGCUAAACAUAUUACCGAAGCUGUGGAUUGUCCUUUGGACAAUGGUAGGAGAGCGUUCUAAGGGCGUUGAAGCAUGAUCGUAAGGACAUGUGGAGCGCUUAGAAGUGAGAAUGCCGGUGUGAGUAGCGAAAGACGGGUGAGAAUCCCGUCCACCGAUUGACUAAGGUUUCCAGAGGAAGGCUCGUCCGCUCUGGGUUAGUCGGGUCCUAAGCUGAGGCCGACAGGCGUAGGCGAUGGAUAACAGGUUGAUAUUCCUGUACCACCUAUAAUCGUUUUAAUCGAUGGGGGGACGCAGUAGGAUAGGCGAAGCGUGCGAUUGGAUUGCACGUCUAAGCAGUAAGGCUGAGUAUUAGGCAAAUCCGGUACUCGUUAAGGCUGAGCUGUGAUGGGGAGAAGACAUUGUGUCUUCGAGUCGUUGAUUUCACACUGCCGAGAAAAGCCUCUAGAUAGAAAAUAGGUGCCCGUACCGCAAACCGACACAGGUAGUCAAGAUGAGAAUUCUAAGGUGAGCGAGCGAACUCUCGUUAAGGAACUCGGCAAAAUGACCCCGUAACUUCGGGAGAAGGGGUGCUCUUUAGGGUUAACGCCCAGAAGAGCCGCAGUGAAUAGGCCCAAGCGACUGUUUAUCAAAAACACAGGUCUCUGCUAAACCGUAAGGUGAUGUAUAGGGGCUGACGCCUGCCCGGUGCUGGAAGGUUAAGAGGAGUGGUUAGCUUCUGCGAAGCUACGAAUCGAAGCCCCAGUAAACGGCGGCCGUAACUAUAACGGUCCUAAGGUAGCGAAAUUCCUUGUCGGGUAAGUUCCGACCCGCACGAAAGGCGUAACGAUUUGGGCACUGUCUCAACGAGAGACUCGGUGAAAUCAUAGCACCUGUGAAGAUGCAGGUUACCCGCGACAGGACGGAAAGACCCCGUGGAGCUUUACUGUAGCCUGAUAUUGAAAUUCGGCACAGCUUGUACAGGAUAGGUAGGAGCCUUUGAAACGUGAGCGCUAGCUUACGUGGAGGCGCUGGUGGGAUACUACCCUAGCUGUGUUGGCUUUCUAACCCGCACCACUUAUCGUGGUGGGAGACAGUGUCAGGCGGGCAGUUUGACUGGGGCGGUCGCCUCCUAAAAGGUAACGGAGGCGCUCAAAGGUUCCCUCAGAAUGGUUGGAAAUCAUUCAUAGAGUGUAAAGGCAUAAGGGAGCUUGACUGCGAGACCUACAAGUCGAGCAGGGUCGAAAGACGGACUUAGUGAUCCGGUGGUUCCGCAUGGAAGGGCCAUCGCUCAACGGAUAAAAGCUACCCCGGGGAUAACAGGCUUAUCUCCCCCAAGAGUUCACAUCGACGGGGAGGUUUGGCACCUCGAUGUCGGCUCAUCGCAUCCUGGGGCUGUAGUCGGUCCCAAGGGUUGGGCUGUUCGCCCAUUAAAGCGGUACGCGAGCUGGGUUCAGAACGUCGUGAGACAGUUCGGUCCCUAUCCGUCGUGGGCGUAGGAAAUUUGAGAGGAGCUGUCCUUAGUACGAGAGGACCGGGAUGGACAUACCUCUGGUGUACCAGUUGUCGUGCCAACGGCAUAGCUGGGUAGCUAUGUGUGGACGGGAUAAGUGCUGAAAGCAUCUAAGCAUGAAGCCCCCCUCAAGAUGAGAUUUCCCAACUUCGGUUAUAAGAUCCCUCAAAGAUGAUGAGGUUAAUAGGUUCGAGGUGGAAGCAUGGUGACAUGUGGAGCUGACGAAUACUAAUCGAUCGAAGACUUAAUCAA
rnacentral:rRNA from 2 species